rnacentral:rRNA from 1 species
AACGUAGGAGCCUAGCGUUAUCCGAAUUCACUGGGCGUAAAGCGCGUGCAGGCGGUUCGGUAAGUUGGAUGUGAAAUCUCCUGGCUCAACUGGGAGAGGACGUUCAAGACUGUCGGACUAGAGGACGGUAGAGGAAGGUAGAAUUCCCGGUGUAGUGGUGAAAUGCGUAGAUAUCGGGAGGAACACCGGUGGCGAAGGCGGAUCUCUGGGCCUUACCUGACGCUCAGGUGCGAAAGCUAGGGGAGCGAACAGG